rnacentral:sRNA from 1 species
UCAUGAACAACGCAAGCGCGAAAAGCGCAUAACACUGACUUUAAAAGCAUUUUCGAUUUGAGACGCCUCUUCGUGAUGGCUCCAUGAAAACGAAAACCGUCUGUCUAGUGGAGAGAGAAAGAGGGUCAUGGGUGACGUUUCCUUCAGCUCAUGAAGGGAAGGUCAAUGACCUUUCGCAUAU